GUGGGGAAUCUUAGACAAUGGGCGCAAGCCUGAUCUAGCCAUGCCGCGUGAGCGAUGAAGGCCUUAGGGUUGUAAAGCUCUUUCGUCGGGGAAGAUAAUGACUGUACCCCAAGAAGAAGCCCCGGCUAACUCCGUGCCAGCAGCCGCGGUAAUACGGAGGGGGCUAGCGUUGUUCGGAAUUACUGGGCGUAAAGCGCACGUAGGCGGACUGGAAAGUCAGGGGUGAAAUCCCGGGGCUCAACCCCGGAACUGCCUUUGAAACUCCCAGUCUUGAGUUCGAGAGAGGUGAGUGGAAUUCCGAGUGUAGAGGUGAAAUUCGUAGAUAUUCGGAGGAACACCAGUGGCGAAGGCGGCUCACUGGCUCGAUACUGACGCUGAGGUGCGAAAGCGUGGGGAGCAAACAGGAUUAGAAACCCGGGUAGUCC
rnacentral:rRNA from 1 species